AGGACGAACGCUGGCGGCGCGCCUAACACAUGCAAGUCGAGCGAUAACCAGGGGCUUGCCCUUGGGGACAGCGGCGAACGGGUGCGUAACACGUGAGCAACCUGCCCCCGAAGACCGGGACAACCCGAGGAAAACUCGGACUAAUACCGGAUGUCCUCACCGGAUCGCAUGGUCUGGUGAGGAAAUGGAUUCCGCUUCGGGAUGGGCUCGCGGUCUAUCAGCUUGUUGGUGGGGUAACGGCCUACCAAGGCGACGACGGAUAGCUGGUCUGAGAGGACGAUCAGCCACACUGGGACUGAGACACGGCCCAGACUCCUACGGGAGGCAGCAGUGGGGAAUCUUGCGCAAUGGGGGAAACCCUGACGCAGCGACGCCGCGUGCGGAUGAAGGCCUUCGGGUUGUAAACCGCUUUCAGCGAGGGACGAAAUUGACGGUACCUGCAGAAGAACGGCCCGGCCAACUACGUGCCAGCGAGCCGCGGUAA
rnacentral:rRNA from 1 species